ACGAACGCUGGCGGCGUGCUUCACACAUGCAAGUCGAACGGAAAGGCCCUGCUUUUGUGGGGUGCUCGCGUGGCGAACGGGUGAGUAACACGUGAGUAACCUGCCCUUGACCUUGGGGUAACUUCAGGAAACUGGGGCUAAUACCGGAUAGGAGCUCCUGCUGCAUGGUGGGGGUUGGAAAGUUUCGGCGGUUGGGGAUGGACUCGCGGCUUAUCAGCUUGUUGGUGGGGUAGUGGCUUACCAAGGCUUUGACGGGUAGCCGGCCUGAGAGGGUGACCGGCCACAUUGGGACUGAGAUACGGCCCAGACUCCUACGGGAGGCAGCAGUGGGGAAUAUUGCACAAUGGGCGGAAGCCUGAUGCAGCAACGCCGCGUGCGGGAUGACGGCCUUCGGGUUGUAAACCGCUUUCGCCUGUGACGAAGCGUGAGUGACGGUAAUGGGUAAAGAAGCACCGGCUAACUACGUG
rnacentral:rRNA from 1 species